UACAGAGGUCUCAACCGUUGUUCGGAUUCAUUGGGCGUAAAGGGUGCGUAGGCGGUCGCGCAAGUCGGAUGUGAAACCUCAGGGCUCAACCCUGAAACUGCAUUCGAUACUGCGGUGCUUGAGGACUGGAGAGGAGACUGGAAUUCAUGGUGUAGCAGUGAAAUGCGUAGAGAUCAUGAGGAAGACCAGUGGCGAAGGCGGGUCUCUGGACAGUUCCUGACACUGAGGCACGAAGGCCAGGGGAGCAAACGGG
rnacentral:rRNA from 1 species